GUUUAAUCGUAGUAGAUAAACAAGCAAUGAGUAAGAAAAAAAAUGUAGUACGACGAUGAUGUGUUUUCUCAAGAUGAUAACGGAUCUAGCUUCGCCAUCAAUAAGUAUGAGACAAAGGAGUCCAUCUUUGAUGAAACAUCCAUUUGCCUGUUGUACAUUUUUGCAGGACAACCAGCCUGAGCACAAGAGACAUGGUGUACUAGACUUUGUGCGGAAUGUCUACUUCAAAACUCGCAUCUUUAUAUCUGAUAUAUAGAGAUAUAGAGAUAUAGAGAGAGGCUGAUGAUUUAUAAACACAAACGAUAAGACUUGUAACAUGAAGUUUAUCGAAAAAGUCAAUCUUUAAAUUCCUUUCUGAACCUCUCUGUUAUGUCAGUGCUUCGGUACCAUGCUUUUAGUGCGGUCAUUUAAAGGCAUAGCGAUGAUAGUUCUAAAGUUACUGUAUUGAUCAAUUGGAAGAACAUCCAAAUAAAAAAAAGUAUGCAAAAUGCUAGUAUUAUCAGUAACUGCAAAUAAAAAAAAAAAAAAAAAA
rnacentral:sRNA from 1 species